GUGGUGGGGUGCUGGAACAGCUGCCCAGAGAGGCUGUGGAUGCCCCGUCCACCCCUGGAGGUGAACAAGGCCAGGUUGGAUGGGGCCCUGGGCAGCCUGGGCUGCUAUGAAAUGUGGAGGUUGGUGGCCCUGCCUGCGGUGGGGGGGUUGGAGCUUCAUGAUCCUUGAGGUCCCUUCCAACUCAAGCCAUGCUAUGAUUCUAUGAUUUAAAAUUUCUUCAGAUUUUUCUACGGUGCUCAGUCAAGUGCCUUGAACAAAUCUGAGUGCAUUAUAGAUCUAGUGACUCCUUCAUCAGCUGAACUUGUGGUGUCCUGAAGGAUGGAAAUCAUGCUUAUGUGCCUUGAUUUAUUUGUCAAUAAAGUGUUGAGAGGCAGCACUUAUAUCCCUGUUCCUUACUUUUCCCUUAGACACAUGAAUGCUCAGUCAGGUUUUUCAUUAAUUUAUG
rnacentral:lncRNA from 1 species